CAGUGUAUUCAUCCGCAGUCAAAAGUUUCCCGCACCCGGUCUUCUCAGUUUUAUUAUUCAUCCGUCGCGAGUGGCAAUCGUUUGAACACCGUUAAAAAACGUCGCAUCCCGAACAGCUUAACACGGAUACUAUUUAUUUACAUCAGCAGGACCACUGGCUGACAAAGAACCGUUGAGGACAAGGCGGUUCACCCAAAGAGGCCUUUAGUAACCGGAUAGGAGCAAUGGACAUUCACAUGACGACGCACUGUGGAAGCCGAGAAACAGAUCCAAAAUGCCGGCUAAAUCGUUGACCCAGAUGGUUUAUCGACGAAGGAGCAGACUAUAUGUGGCCAAAUUAUCAAUGUGCAAACGUAAACACAAGUUGAAAAUGAAAUUGAAAUAAACAUAUUUUCCAUGAAAUAAAAACUAUUGAUACAAACUU